rnacentral:tRNA from 1 species
AGGGGUAGUGCUCAGUGAUAGAGCGCUUGCUUAGCACGCCUGAGGUCCUGGGUUCAAUCCCUAGUACCUCCA